ensembl:lncRNA
AUGCUGUCUUUUACCAGGAAUAAUGGACCGGGUCAACAGAAUGUACAACUUACACAAUCCCCACCAGCUGCUUCUCCGUUUAACCCCAACACAUUUGGGAAUCAGCAAACUGGGAAUGCAAUUGGGUCAAUGUAUGUAAUAGCUGGAGUCAAACCCCAAAACCUCAUGUCUCAACUAUGUCACUAUGGAGCUGACUCUAAUAGACAGCCAUCAAAUUGGCAGACCUCAGCAGUUCAUCAGGCAGUUUAUUUUCAGCAGACUGCCGGAAGUGACAAUUAUCAGCAACGCUCACCUGCUAAUGAGCAAAGUAGAAACCCCAUAUUGCAUCAUUUAUUGAUCCACCCAAGUCCACCAGACGUGAUGAUGGCAAAAGAAGUAUGCCCUCAGCAAGUCAAUUCAGCAAAUUGGAACCAAUCAGUGGGAGUUUAUGGGAAACCAUCAAUAACGACACAGAAUGGUAAUAUCGUGACCGAUCGCCAUCAUUGUUGGGAUGAGAAUAGUCUUCUCAACCUAAAUGGGAAAUCAGUUAUACCUGCUUCUGCAACUGCUACCUCGCCUCAACAUGGAGCGGUGGCUUACAAUGGGACAUUGGGGCCUGCUGCUGCACACCAUGGACCGACUGCUCAUAACAGUCCCAAACAAAACCCCACUCAGCAUUGUUUCCACCCAAGUUAUAUGUCUGUCUCUCAGUCUUUCAGAAACGACAACAAAACAACGCACUCCUCCUCUAGUGGACACAACCUACAGGUUUCCAGCACAAGUCGGAUUUUUCAACAAUCCUCAGCACAUAACAAUGGUGGAGAGACCGCCGGUUGCAUUAAUUCAAAUAACAGACAGCAUGAAACUAACUUUUCCGUGUCACAACCAAAUAAUUAUCCCUUAAAUCCUGCUGCACAACAGGAAAUAUGCAGGCGCCAAACUAUCGCAAGAAUUGAAAACUAUCUACGUAUGCCAAUUGCUGCUGGCUCAGAUGGGCGACCUCAAGUGAAUACUAGUUCAGCUUACGGACAAAAUAAAAAUGUGCAACCAGUGACAACGGUUGCCAAAAUAUUUAACGCAAAUGCCACCCACGCCAUACGACAAAAUUCUAGACCUCCUUUGCCUCAAACCACUUGUAGUGUUAUGUCUGCGCAGCAUUGCGGAGAUGUGCUACUUCAGCAAAGCUCUGUGCCAAGUGUCAUCAAUGUCUCAGCGAUGCAAGAUGGAAGCCAUUGUGAAAUGCUAUCAGCCAAGGCAAAUGACCCCUGCGGUCUCUUGUCCCCUGGCCGCACGAGAGUUGUUGCUGUUGUGCAACCAUUGUCACAGGGAAGCUACCAGGUUGCCGGCCGGCAGAGCAGUUCUUGCACCGCCAGUCAGUUGUCGGAGGGCGCCACAGCAGAUGGGUCUUCGAGUUACCCAGAUCGUUUACUCAUUUCACCACAAAACAAGCAUUUGGGGUAUCUGAAAGUGGGACAGUCUCUUCUCCCAGAAAACCCAAACCAAAUGAGCUCCAGCCAAUAUGCAAUCCUGCAUUCAGCGGUAUCCAAUAAUGCUACUUGUCGUCUGUCGUCUUCAGCUGGGCCUCACCACUCGCCGCAAGAACACCACUCGCCGCAAGAACACCACUCGCCGCAAAAACAAUCGCCGCAAAAACAAUCUACGGUUGCCGCAGGAUCUGAACUGGAUGUUGACAUGCAAGUACACAAGUGUGUUGCACCAACUGCUCAACCAUCAGUAACUUCCAAAGCGCCAGUGAGCCAAAAUUGUGAUAUGGACUUAAGUGAGACAACAAAUGGCGUUGAGGUUCCCUCAGUCCCCCAAAUCCCAUGGACAAGAGUCACAUUAUCAAAGUACAUACAGGAUUGUGAAAAAGCUCAGAUCAAGUUAAAAGAUUUUGCCACGCGUAGCCCACUACACAAAUUAUUGAGCAUGUUUUGGGAUGGCGACAUUAGCAACUUGGCUUGUGAGCUUAAGAAAGGCCUGUACCAUACUUUAAUGGAUGAUGUCAAGAAAGUGUGCCGCGAACAUGCAACGAUAGAAUCCAUGUCACAAGUUUGGGGCUCAUGGAGUGCAGUCACAGAACUCAAGAACUACAAUGUCCUCAAAGAUACAGAUGUUUAUAAAGAACUGCCUUACAAGUCAUUAUGGUUGAAUGUCAAUGAGCAGCUUGAUGACAUUGACAAAGAGUUUGACUUCCCACCAUCUUUGAAGUAUCAUCUUCAUUCGGUUACGAGUGUCAGUCAGCCGGGUGAGGUUGAGAAAGAAGGCAACAAUUCCGCACAAACCGUAAAUGAAGUGUCCAACAAGAUUUUGUCAUCAACGGAACUUCAGCAGGUGGAGUUAAAUGAAGAAAAACAAGAGCCCAGUGUUGAAACAACUUCCACACAAACUAAAAAAAGGAAAGCCACUGAUUCCAGUGACCCAUACUCUUUUCAAAUCCAAGUUCUUACCCCAGAAGAUGCCAAAGUCAUCUUUGAGCAGGUGAUAAAGGCUCCAGAAAGUAUGGUUGUGGAUAUGGACUAUCAGCCAGAUAAAGUCUUAAAUAGCUCUGUGGAAGUUGAGCUACCUGAUGUUAUCGAUGUAACACAGAGUGACCCAAAACUUGAGGACAAAACAUUCGGUCCAAUUGAAGAAAUUUGCUGCAUCGACAGGUGGAUGGAAAACAUUUUGGGGUCAAACACUGCUUCUAAAUGCAAAUGCCAAAUCAAGCCAACCCUGACCCCAAGUCAGAAAGAACUUACUGCGAAGACCGUUGACAAGGAAGGGAUGGCAGCACGGAAGAAUGAUUCAUUCAGGCCUGACAACAAAUCCCCCUCUGCUGCAGCUGGAGAGAAUCAAGCAGUGAGUGGGGAGAGCGUCAACAAUCGGGUUUUAACAUUUGAUUGGCCUGUGAUAGUUGACGUAUUCAGUGAAAACAUUGACAAUCCUGAAGGCCGUGACAAACCUCAUUCACAUUCUGACCAAGACCCAGAGAACAUUGACCAGAUAAGCAUAGACAGCGGCCAGUCUAGCAUCCUAUUCAUAAGCGAUGACGAAGAGCUGUCAUGCAUUGAAAGUGAAACUCCCAACCAAAUACCAAACUUGGGAAGUAAUUCUGAACACGCGCCGGUGGAAUUGCGAACCAGUGGCCAGUUAAACUGUUCAGACGCAAAAGAGACCGCUAAAAUCUCCAGAAUUUCUAAAAUUCAUUCAGACCUCGAUGAGGAAGGUCUACCAUAUCAGUUGAAACAUACUGGACAUCUACAGUUGUCUACUCUGGUUAAAAGUGACCAAAAAAUUAAAAGUCUAUCCAGCGGUGAAAGUGACUCUUCAAUCCAGAUGACUGACCUCAAGGAAAAUUGUGGACAAGCUCAAGCGCGAUCUACAAAUGACACUGAGUCGUCAUUGGAAACUGAAGAAAUAAAGAGUGCGGCAGGAGCCCGACAGAACCCGCGGAGUGGUAAACUGAAGAGACCACGUGGUCCUGAUAGAUUUUUACCAGCAUCAAAGAAAUCAAAGAAAAGCAAAUCCCUAGUAGAUCUAGAGAACUCACAGCCUUUCCGCAAGGAUGCUUCAAACUGUGGGAAGGUCUUUUUUCAUGCGUCUGAUGGCGAACCUUCCCCCUUCAGCCGUCCAACUGUGGACCUGGUUCUGUUUGGCUCCAGGACACAGGACAAUUGUGUUGUAAUGGAUAGCAGAAGGAACCAUUCCUCGUCUCCAGAGGCUGGGUCAAAUCCUGUACCGAGGCCUCCAAAAUCUCUCACUGUGAAUCUCAGUCCCUUGAAGAAAAAGACCAUUAAAACUGUGCAGACAUGGGAAUGUUCAGUCCAACGGCUUUACAAGAAAUGGAAGAUUAGUUUUCCACCAGCUAAAAUAAAGCACAAAGGCAGGCUAAAAGCACAGAAGGGUACCUUUGCCCCGUCAUCCAAGUGUAAUCUGGAGAGAGCUGAAAAGACCGGCCCUGCUGGCGCUGAACAGCCGCCAGUUUGCUCUAACAAGAGGGUCACGAGAGGGAAAACCAAGCCCAGCCCGAGUCUUCUUUGGAGGAAGUCCCUCUCCGAAGAACUUCAAUGUGAAGAGCAGAUACAGACCCUCAACCGUCCUGAUGAUCAGGAGAGAAAUAACGGCGACAGUGGAAGCCAUGCGGUCAUGCCUCUCCAGAGAAACGGUACCCUGAAGUAUAGUGUCUUACCGGUUUCCUUUAACUUUGGAACCAAUGGGACAAAAGAAACCAAGGAGCCUGUUUCAGGGAAGCCUGAUGUUGCUGAAGGAAAGGACCACAGACCCAAUCAAACUGUCAUUGAAAGAAGUAAUGAAUACAACCAUUCAUGAUUUUAUUCUGGCUUUGUAUUUCUUGUUAUUUAGACAGAUUAGAGUUGUUCUAAUUUUUAUAAUUUAAAUGUUUCUUUCGUAGGUACAUGGUAUCCAAUGGCCCACACGAAUAGUCUAUUUUUCCCUCCCACACCAAAGACCACCAGCCUCUUCCAAACGUUUCAGAAGAAGUACAUGGAGAAGGUGAAGCCACUUGAGGAUAAAUGAGAUGCCAGAACAAAGUUUUGCUGGCAACAGAACUCAAAAGAUUGUUACAGAAGUGAUGUCUUUCUAUUUUUGUACUGUACGUGACGGAGCCAUUGUAAGUCGAGUCAGUCAGAUGUUUACAUCAGUUUGUACUUAAAAAUGACCUUUGUUUACAUAACUAUAAAGGCUGUCAAGUCCUACGUUUCACUGUUUUACCUCAGUUAUAUAAAUAUAUAUAUAUAUAUAUACAUAUUUUUUCUACAUUAUAUUUUUCUGCAAUAUUCUCUUUUUGAACAAAUAUUUUUUUUAUACAAAAGGUGUCUAGAAUAGCAGAUUAUAUGUCUGUUUACACAAGAUAACGGUUAUGUUGGGAGCACUAACGGUGAAUUUAGUACCCAGAAAGGACAUAAUGGUAUUUUUUUUUCUUUUAUAUCAAGUAAAACUAUUGACAGUUACAAAUUCUUAAGUUUGUCUCGUCUUUCUCUGAUUUCGAACGAUUCAAGUGUGCUUUCAUCAAAGAAGUGUGGUGAAGAACGCAAUCUACCUGGCCGAGGGUCAGGAAACAUUGGGACCGUUGACGUUUUCUUUUUUGUAUUUAAAUGUUUAACCACUUGGGGUUUGAUUAACUUUACCCGGUUGGCCAAGAAGCCCAUUAUAGACGUUCCUAUUUAACCAUUCAGAAUGAGUUUGUCAGGAAUCAGGAAACAUUUAUUGCCAAAAUAUGUCAAACAUACAAGGAAUUUGUCUUGACGGUUGGUGCGUGACCGUAGACAGUGUAACAAUAGACAAGACAGCAGUGCACAAGUAAUAAAAUAAGGUAAAAUGAAAUGCAAAUGAAAUGGGUUAGUAUAAAAGAGAAUAAAGUUUAGUUAAAAAUAAAAAAUAUUGAAGUUAAAAUAUUAAGCAUAAAGUGCACUAGCAAACAAGUGACGACUAACGACAAAGUGAAAAAAUUACAGUUAAAGUGACAUGUGCAGUAUGAAGGGGAGUGACCGGUGGAAUGUUAUAGUCAGUCAGUGGGGGACCAGGCUCUGUUGAUGAGCCUGACUGCCGACGGGAAGAAACUGUUCGUGUGGCGGGAGGUCUUCGUCCUAAUGGACCUCAGCCUCCUGCCAGAUGGAAGGGGCACAAACCGUUUUUGUCCGGGGUGAGCGGGGUCGGCUACGAUCUUUUUAGCUCGCUUCAGAGACCUGGAAGCGAACAAGUCCUGCAGGGACUGCAGAUUGCAGCCGAUCACCCUCUCUGCAGAGCGGAUGACAUGCUGCAGCCUGCCCUUGUCCUUGGCUGUGGCUGCAGCGUACCAGACGGUGAUGGAGGAGCAGAGGAUGGACUCGAUGAUGGCUGUGUAGAAGUGGACCAUCAUCGUCUUUGGCAGGUUGAAUAUCUUCAGCUGCCCCAGGAAGAACAACCUCUGCUGAGCCUUCUUUGUGAUGCAGCUGAUGUUCAGCUCCCACUUGAGGUCCUGAGUGAUGAUGGAGCCCAGGAAACGGAAGGAGUCCACAAUAGUGACGGGGGAGUCACACAGGGUGAUGGUGGAAGGUGGGGCUCUGUUCCGCCGGAAAUCCACAACCAUCUCCACUGUCUUCAGAGCGUUGAGCUCCAGGUUGUUCUUACUGCACCAUGACACCAGAUGGUCAGACUCCCACCUGUAGGCGGACUCAUCCCCAUCAGAGAUCAGUCCAAUGAGGGUGGUGUCAUCCGCAAACUUCAGGAGCUUGACGGACUGGUGACUGGAGGUGCAGCUGUUGGUGUACAGGGAGAAGAGCAGAGGGGAAAGAUUGCAGCCUUUGGGGGAACCGGUGCUGAUGGUCCGAGAGGCUGAGACAUGUUUCCCCAGCUUCACGUGCUGUUUCCUGUCAGACAGGAAGUCUGUGAUCCACUUGCAGGUGGAGUCGGNNNNNNNNNNNNNNNNNNNNNNNNNNNNNNNNNNNNNNNNNNNNNNNNNNNNNNNNNNNNNNNNNNNNNNNNNNNNNNNNNNNNNNNNNNNNNNNNNNNNUUGGCUCUGUAGGCGAACUGCAGGGGGUCCAGGAGGGGGUCGGUGAGGGACUUCAGGUGGGACAGGACUAGCCGUUCAAAAGACUACAGAGGUCACGAUGACGGGCCUUAUAAAGUGAACAUCUCUCUGGCUGGCUGUUUGCAGA